UACGUAGGGUGCGAGCGUUAAUCGGAAUUACUGGGCGUAAAGCGUGCGCAGGCGGUUAUUUAAGUCAGGUGUGAAAGCCCUGGGCUUAACCUAGGAAUUGCGCUUGAGACUGGAUAGCUUGGAGUGCGGCAGAGGGAGGUGGAAUUCCACGUGUAGCAGUGAAAUGCGUAGAGAUGUGGAGGAACACCGAUGGCGUAGGCAGCCUCCUGGGCCAGCACUGACGCUCAUGCACGAAAGCGUGGGGAGCAAACAGG
rnacentral:rRNA from 1 species